rnacentral:rRNA from 1 species
AGAAUCAACGCUGGCGGCGUGCCUAACACAUGCAAGUCGAACGAGAAAGGGUAGCAAUACCUGAGUAAAGUGGCGCACGGGUGAGUAACACGUGACUAACCUACCUUUUAGUGGGGGAUAACCUAGGGAAACCUGGGCUAAUACCGCAUAAUACCUACGGGUCAAAGCAGCAAUGCGCUGAAAGAGGGGGUCGCGGCCGAUUAGCUAGUUGGCGGGGUAAUGGCCCACCAAGGCAGUGAUCGGUAUCCGGCCUGAGAGGGCGCACGGACACACUGGAACUGAAACACGGUCCAGACUCCUACGGGAGGCAGCAGUGGGGAAUUUGCGCAAUGGGGGAAACCCUGACGCAGCAACGCCGCGUGGAGGAUGAAGUCCCUUGGGACGUAAACUCCUUUCGAUCGGGACGAUAAUGACGGUACCGGAAGAAGAAGCCCCGGCUAACUUCGUGCCAGCAGCCGC